CUGGUAUGAAAGGUUUGACGAGAAAAUAGCUGUCUCAAUUUUAAUUAAUAGAACUUUAUUUUUAAGUUAAAAAGCUUAAAUUUUUUUAAAAGACGAGAAGACCCUAUAGAGUUUUAUUUAUAAUUUUAAAUAAUUUUAAAGAAUUUAAUAAGAAAUUUAUUUUUAUAAAUUUAGUUGGGGUGACUAAAAAAUUAAAUGAACUUUUUUUUAUAUGUUCCAUUUAUUUAUGAUUAUUGAUCCAAGCAA
rnacentral:rRNA from 1 species